UAGGGAAUCUUCGGCAAUGGGGGGAACCCUGACCGAGCAACGCCGCGUGAGUGAAGAAGGUUUUCGGAUCGUAAAGCUCUGUUGUUAAGGAAGAACGAGUGUGAGAAUGGAAAGUUCAUACUGUGACGGUACUUAACCAGAAAGGGACGGCUAACUACGUGCCAGCAGCCGCGGUAAUACGUAGGUCCCGAGCGUUGUCCGGAUUUAUUGGGCGUAAAGCGAGCGCAGGCGGUCAAUUUAGUCUGAUGUGAAAGCCCCCGGCUCAACCGGGGAGGGUCAUUGGAAACUGGUUGACUUGAGUGCAGAAGAGGAGAGUGGAAUUCCAUGUGUAGCGGUGAAAUGCGUAGAUAUAUGGAGGAACACCAGUGGCGAAGGCGACUCUCUGGUCUGUAACUGACGCUGAGGCUCGAAAGCGUGGGUAGCAAACAGG
rnacentral:rRNA from 1 species